rnacentral:rRNA from 1 species
UACGUAGGGUCCGAGCGUUGUCCGGAAUUACUGGGCGUAAAGAGCUCGUAGGCGGUUUGUCGCGUCGGCUGUGAAAACCUGGGGCUCAACCCCGGGCCUGCAGCCGAUACGGGCAAACUAGAAUUCGGUAGGGGAGACUGGAAUUCCUGGUGUAGCGGUGAAAUGCGCAGAUAUCAGGAGGAACACCAAAGGCGAAGGCAGUGUCCUGGGGAGUACCUGACGCUCAGGUGCGAAAGCCAGGGGAGCGAACGGG